rnacentral:lncRNA from 1 species
CCUCUUUCAGACACACACAAACGAUUUUGAUUGAACGCUAUAAUUUACAUGGAAAUGCAAAGGAAAUAUUCUCACCCUGUUUGAUCAUUUUUCAGACAUUACGUUGGGCUUCAUGCUGUCAGCUGGAUGACUGAACCUGACGGAGUUCUGGUCCAGUCUUUGCUCUACACCUGCACUUGUGGUCUUCGCACUGCUGUCCGCAUUACCUUGGAUGUAAGAUUGACAACACCACCUUCUGCCUCCCAGCGACCCCUAACUCCAUCAGGACUCUCUGCAGGAAAGUUAAAAUAUCUCAAAGUAGCAGGUUUAGAGGUGUCCUGGGUCCGUUGUCUGGCAUGAAUGUAUCAUGAGUGGGAAGGCAAAGAAAAACACAUUUUAUUUUUGUUCCCAUAUUAUUCAGAAAUGGUUUCUCACCAAAUAAAUGUAGCCUUAAUUGGCAACUGUUGUUGAUUGAAUCAAAUAACAAGUUAAACCAGAUAAACAAACUGUAGGUUAUGUGGCUCCUUUUUGAUUUUCUAAAUCAAUUGUAAUUGUG